rnacentral:rRNA from 1 species
AACGAACGCUGGCGGCAGGCUUAACACAUGCAAGUCGAACGCCCCGCAAGGGGAGUGGCAGACGGGUGAGUAACGCGUGGGAACGUGCCCUUCGCUUCGGAAUAGCCCCGGGAUACUGGGAGUAAUACCGAAUACGCCGUAUUGGGAAAGAUUUAUCGGCGAAGGAUCGGCCCGCGUUAGAUUAGCUAGUUGGCGGUGUAAUGGACCACCAAGGCUACGAUCUAUAGCUGGUCUGAGAGGAUGAUCAGCCACACUGGGACUGAGACACGGCCCAGACUCCUACGGGAGGCAGCAGUGGGGAAUCUUGGACAAUGGGCGCAAGCCUGAUCCAGCCAUGCCGCGUGAGUGAAGAAGGCCUUAGGGUUGUAAAACUCUUUCGCCGGAGAAGAUAAUGACGGUAUCCGGAGAAGAAGCCCCGGCUAACUUCGUGCCAGCCGCCGCCGUAACAC